GGACCUAGCGGCGGACGGGUGAGUAAUGCUUAGGAAUCUGCCUAUUAGUGGGGGACAACGUUCCGAAAGGAACGCUAAUACCGCAUACGCCCUACGGGAGAAAGCAGGGGAUCUUCGGACCUUGCGCUAAUAGAUGAGCCUAAGUCGGAUUAGCUAGUUGGUGGGGUAAAGGCCUACCAAGGCGACGAUCUGUAGCGGGUCUGAGAGGAUGAUCCGCCACACUGGGACUGAGACACGGCCCAGACUCCUACGGGAGGCAGCAGUGGGGAAUAUUGGACAAUGGGCGGAAGCCUGAUCCAGCCAUGCCGCGUGUGUGAAGAAGGCCUUUUGGUUGUAAAGCACUUUAAGCGAGGAGGAGGCUCCUUUAGUUAAUACCUAAAGUGAGUGGACGUUACUCGCAGAAUAAGCACCGGCUAACUCUGUGCCAGCAGCCGCGGUAAUACAGAGGGUGCGAGCGUUAAUCGGAUUUACUGGGCGUAAAGCGUGCGUAGGCGGCUUUUUAAGUCGGAUGUGAAAUCCCUGAGCUUAACUUAGGAAUUGCAUUCGAUACUGGAAAGCUAGAGUAUGGGAGAGGAUGGUAGAAUUCCAGGUGUAGCGGUGAAAUGCGUAGAGAUCUGGAGGAAUACCGAUGGCGAAGGCAGCCAUCUGGCCUAAUACUGACGCUGAGGUACGAAAGCAUGGGGAGCAAACAGGAUUAGAUACCCUGGUAGUCCAUGCCGUAAACGAUGUCUACUAGCCGUUGGGGCCUUUGAGGCUUUAGUGGCGCAGCUAACGCGAUAAGUAGACCGCCUGGGGAGUACGGUCGCAAGACUAAAACUCAAAUGAAUUGACGGGGGCCCGCACAAGCGGUGGAGCAUGUGGUUUAAUUCGAUGCAACGCGAAGAACCUUACCUGGCCUUGACAUACUAAGAACUUUCCAGAGAUGGAUUGGUGCCUUCGGGAACUUAGAUACAGGUGCUGCAUGGCUGUCGUCAGCUCGUGUCGUGAGAUGUUGGGUUAAGUCCCGCAACGAGCGCAACCCUUUUCCUUAUUUGCCAUCGGGU
rnacentral:rRNA from 1 species